CCCGUCUUAGCUCAGAUGGAUAGAGCAGGCCCGUCCUAAGGGCAAGGCCGGGGGUUCGAGUCCCUCAGACGGGA
rnacentral:tRNA from 1 species